rnacentral:tRNA from 1 species
GCCCCGGUAGCUCAGUGGUAGAGCGCCCGGCUGUUAACCGGAGGGUCGUGGGUUCGAAUCCCACCCGGGGCG